GAUGAACGCUGGCGGCGUGCCUAAUACAUGCCAGUCGAGCGAACAGACGAGGAGCUUGCUCCUCUGACGUUAGCGGCGGACGGGUGAGUAACACGUGGAUAACCUACCUAUAAGACUGGGAUAACUUCGGGAAAUCGGAGCUAAUACCGGAUAAUAUAUUGAACCGCAUGGUUCAAUAGUGAAAGACGGUUUUGCUGUCACUUAUAGAUGGAUCCGCGCCGCAUUAGCUAGUUGGUAAGGUAACGGCUUACCAAGGCGACGAUGCGUAGCCGACCUGAGAGGGUGAUCGGCCACACUGGAACUGAGACACGGUCCAGACUCCUACGGGAGGCAGCAGUAGGGAAUCUUCCGCAAUGGGCGAAAGCCUGACGGAGCAACGCCGCGUGAGUGAUGAAGGUCUUCGGAUCGUAAAACUCUGUUAUUAGGGAAGAACAAAUGUGUAAGUAACUAUGCACGUCUUGACGGUACCUAAUCAGAAAGCCACGGCUAACUACGUG
rnacentral:rRNA from 1 species